CUACAUUCCAUAAGCGAGAAAGGAACCAACCAGGGGAUUCCUCAGUAACUGCGAGUGAAGCGGCAACAGCUCAAGAUUUGAAAGCUGGCCCCCCCCGCCGGGGGUCCGCGUUGUAAUCUGCAGAGGGGUCCUCCGGCGCGGCGGUUCACUAAGUCCCCCUGGAACGGGGCGCCAAAGAGGGUGAGAGCCCCGUGAGCGGACCGCCAAGCCCUCUGUGAGGCCCCUUCGACGAGUCGAGUAGUUUGGGAAUGCUGCUCUAAACGGGAGGUGAAUUCCUUCUAAAGCUAAAUACCCGCCAGAGACCGAUAGCGCACAAGUAGUGUAAACGAAAGGUGAAAAGCACCCUGGAGAGAGGGUUAAACAGAACGUGAAAUUGCUGAAAGGGAAGCGCCAGCGUCCAGACGCGGGCCGCCCGGCUCCCCCCGGCUUCCACGGCCGGGGUCUCCGCGGCGGUCCGGGCCAGCACCGGCUUCCGCGGGGGUUGAAUGGCGCCGGGGACGUGGCUCCUUCGCGGAGUGUUACAACCCGGCGCUCGAUGCCCCCGCUGGGGCCGUGGUACCUGCGCCUCCGGGCACGGGUGCUGGCGUAAUGGUCAUUGGCGUCCCGUCUUGAAACACGGACCAAGGAGUCGAGGUAUCGCGCGAGUGUACGGGCGUCAAACCCCCAACGCGCAGCGAAAGCGAACGCUCGUGGGAGCCUCACGGCGCACCACGGACCGAUCCAGAAGCCCUGGCGGACGGAUUCGAGUAGGAGCGCGGUGCUUCGGACCCGAAAGAUGGUGAACUAUGCUUGGAUAGGGUGAAGCCAGGGGAAACUCUGGUGGAGGCUCGCAGCGGUUCUGACGUGCAAAUCGAUCGUCAAAUCUGAGCAUGGGGGCGAAAGACUAAUCGACC
rnacentral:rRNA from 1 species